AAAAAAGCAGGGGCUCGUUGCCUUUUGUGGACAAGCCUCUCGUAAACUUCAGGGAAAUGAAUUUGCAUUGUCAUUGGGUGAAUCUCUUGAGUAGUUUGUGAAGGAUGGUUCAGUAUAUGAUGGAACAUUA